rnacentral:rRNA from 1 species
AUGCCAUUCCCUAUACCACUAGCCACACUGCAAGUUGCCACGCUAAUCCUCCUCGUGUCGUGCUCACUACUGCUGCUAUUGCGUACCCAAACCAAGAAGCAUCCCGCCGACCAACGACUCCCGCCCUCACCGCCGCGCCUGCCGAUCUUCGGCAACCUCCACCAACUCGGCGCGCUCCCACACCGCGCCCUGCACGAGCUCGCCGUGGCGCACGGACCCGUCAUGCUGCUCCACCUCGGCCGCGUGCCAACCCUGGUCGUCUCCUCCGCCAACGCGGCGAGGAAGGUGCUGCAGCUGCAGGACCAUGCCUUCGCCAGCCGGCCGUCGCUCGCCAUCCCGAGUCGUCUCCUCUACGGCUGCACCGACAUCGCCUUCGCGCCCCACGGCGCCUACUGGCGCAGCGUGCGCAAGCUCGCCGUGCUCCACCUCCUGAGCCCCGGCAGGGUGCGCGCGUACCGCGGCGUGCGCGAGGAGGAGGUGGCGAAGCUGGUCAGGAGGGUGGAGGAGGAACGAGCGCACGGCGGCGGCGUGGUGCGGCUCAGCGAGCUCCUGGGCGGCUUCGCCAAGGACGUGAACGGGCGGAUCAUGCUCGGAGUGCGCGCCUCGGGCGCAGCCGGGUGGCGUGCCAAGGUGGACGCGCUGCUGGAGGAGGCCAACGCGCUGCUCGGGGCGUUCCACGUCGGCGACUACUUCCCGUGGCUGGCGUGGGUGGCCGCCGUGGACGGGACCGACGCCAAGGUGAGCAGGGCGUUCGAGAGGAUCGAUCGGAUCCUCGAGGAGAUCGUCGACGUUGCCGCGAGCACCGGCGUGGGAGGUUGCCGUUGCGAGGACGAGGCGUUCGUGCAUGUGCUGCUGUCGCUUCAGAGAGAAUCGAGCGAGACAGGGUUUCGCUUGAGCAGGGACAACGUCAAGGCACUACUAGAGGAUUUGUUCGGAGCAGGGACAGACUCGACCAUCAUCGUGCUCGAAUGGGUCAUGGCCGAGCUCCUCCGCAACAAGCCAGUGAUGCAGAAGCUACAACAAGAAAUCAGGCGCCACUAUACCAAGACUAGUCACUUACUAAUGAUUACUGAGCAAGACCUUCCGGUGAUGGAGUACCUUAGGGCCGUUAUCAAGGAGACGAUGCGGUUGCACCCACCUGGGCCUCUUCUUGUUCCCCGUGAGUCUAUGAAACACGCGAGGGUCCAAGACUACCACGCCCCUAGUGGGACUCGGGUCAUUGUGAAUGCAUGGGCCAUCGGGAGAGACCCUGCAGCAUGGGAGCAUGUCGGAGAGUUCUGGCCGGAGCGGUUUAUCAACAGCAAGGUGGACUUUCGCGGGCAACAUUCCCAACUCAUACCUUUCGGUGCAGGUAGGAGGAUGUGCCCCGGGGUAGGGUUCACAACCACUGUCGUGGAGCUCACGCUUGCUAACCUUGUGGGGCACUUUGACUGGGCGGUUCCACCGUCGGUGGUGGUGGAUAUGGAAGAGGCGCCAGGAGUCACGUCACGGAAGAGGGUGCCAAUUUACGCCGUGGCGACAGUGGCACUUCAUGAGUAA